rnacentral:other from 1 species
GUACAAUGAAUUGCCCCGCUACGAAGGGGUUUGAAAC